rnacentral:rRNA from 1 species
CCUACGGGAGGCAGCAGUGAGGAAUAUUGGUCAAUGGUCGGGAGACUGAACCAGCCAAGCCGCGUGAGGGAGGAAGGUACAGAGUAUUGUAAACCUCUUUUGUCAGGGAACAAAGGCGGGGACGUGACCCCGGAUGAGUGUACCUGAAGAAAAAGCAUCGGCUAACUCCGUGCCAGCAGCCGCGGUAAUACGGAGGAUGCGAGCGUUAUCCGGAUUUAUUGGGUUUAAAGGGUGCGCAGGCGGUCUGUUAAGUCAGCGGUCAAAGCCCGGGGCUCAACCCCGGCCCGCCGUUGAAACUGGCAGUCUCGAGUUGGAGAGAGGUAUGCGGAAUGCGCGGUGUAGCGGUGAAAUGCAUAGAUAUCGCGCAGAACUCCGAUUGCGAAGGCAGCAUGCCGGCUCCACACUGACGCUGAGGCACGAAAGCGUGGGUAUCGAACAGGAUUAGAUACCCUAGUAGUC